UUUGCUACCUUUCUCGUAAAUCCACGCUUCCGCCUUCUUACAUCUCUCGGUGCGAGGCUAUCUUCUCACUCUUUCGUGUCCUCUAUCACUAUUUGACAGUGACUAUUUACUGGGUUAUUCUCUGGAAAAUACAUAUACUUACAUUUGGGUAGCACUUUACAGUUUACAAGAUGCUUUUAUAAACCUCAUUUUAGGAAAGUCUUCACGACAAUCCCAUGAAACUCAGAUUUUAAGCCAGAUAGUACCUGGAACUGGGCCGUGAAUCUAGGUUGUCCUACUCCAUGUCCGGUGGCCAUCUACCCUCUCAAGAAGAGCCAGGACGUCUUGUAAGGAGGACUGGAAACUCUCGGAAUGAGAUGGAAACUUCCAGGGCAAGGUCCGAAGAAAGCUAGCAGUGGCCCUGCUGCAGAGCACGGAUGGAAGGGCUGGGGCCCACUCCAAGCCUGGCAUCUUCUCCAUCAGCUCGGGCGUGCUAAGUAAGGGCUGAGGAAGAGAAGGGCAAGCCAGGAUGUGCCAAGCCGCAGUUGUGUGAUUCAAAGCAGAAUCAAAUUAACUUGUGGAGUUGGAUGGUUUCCAGAUUGCUUAUAAAUGUCACAGAAAGGCAGUGGCAACACCA